CACAAGCGGUGGAUGAUGUGGAUUAAUUCGAUGCAACGCGAAAACCUUACCUACCCUUGACAUGUCCGGAAUCCUGCAGAGAUGCGGGAGUGCCCGAAAGGGAAUCGGAACACAGGUGCUGCAUGGCUGUCGUCAGCUCGUGUCGUGAGAUGUUGGGUUAAGUCCCGCAACGAGCGCAACCCUUACCGUUAGUUACCAUCAGGUUAAGCUGGGGACUCUAGCGGGACUGCCACCGUAAGGUGAGAGGAAGUGGGAUGACGUCAAAUCAGCACGGCCCUUAUGUCCAGGGCUACACACGUGUUACAAUGGCCAGUACAAAGGGCAGCUACCGGGUGACCGGAUGCUAAUCUCUAAAGCUGGUCUCAGUUCGGAUCGAAGUCUGCAACCCGACUUCAUGAAGCUGGAUUCGCUAGUAAUCGCGCAUCAGCCAUGGCGCGGUGAGUACGUUCCCGGGCCUU
rnacentral:rRNA from 1 species